GGAAGUAAAAAUCGUAACAAGGUCUCCGUUGGUGAACCAGCGG
rnacentral:rRNA from 1 species